rnacentral:rRNA from 1 species
UACGGAGGGUGCAAGCGUUAUCCGGAUUCACUGGGUUUAAAGGGUGCGUAGGUGGGCAAGUAAGUCAUUGGUGAAAUCUCCGGGCUUAACCCGGAAACUGCCAUUGAUACUAUUUGUCUUGAAUACUGUGGAGGUCAGCGGAAUAUGUCAUGUAGCGGUGAAAUGCUUAGAUAUGACAUAGAACACCAAUUGCGCAGGCAGCUUACUACACAGUAAUUGACACUGAGGCACGAAAGCGUGGGGAUCAAACAGG